UUGAGUUUGACAGCUCAGAGUUGGUCAACCUAGAGUUGACUCAGAGUUUGUUAAACUUGCUUCCUGAAACAGGCCCCUGGUGCCAUAAACGGCACACACAUUCCCAUCAUUGCUCCCCAUGAAGAUGAACAAGCCUACUACAAUCUGAAGGGGUGGCAUUCCAUUGUUAUGUCGAGCUACACACUAAAUGUUUGUUUGUUUGUUUCAGCUUCACAGAUGUGUACUUUGGUUGGUCUGAUUGCAGACAUGACGCGCCAACAAACUCGCCAAUCUACGAAAAGGCAGAAGGUGGAUACUGCUUUUCAUGUGAAAGAUCCAUCAAUGUUAAUGGAGUGAACGUCCCUAUCCACGACAUUGGAGACCCUGCUUAGCUCUCAGGAAGUUGCUAAUGAAGGGGAUCACAAGCCAACAUGAACUUGAUCAGCGGCAGUUGAAUUUCAACUACCAUUUCAGUUCGGCAAGGAUGGUGGUGAAAAAAUGUCUCAAGGGUCGCUGCCCGGUGCCUGGUCAAGAGAAAUGACAUUUUGACUACUUCUAUGCCAGAUGUUGUUGUUGCUUGUUGUAUUCCACACGAUGUAUGUGAAAAGGAAAUAAGGAACAAUAAAUAAGGAACACUU